CAGCAGCCGCGGUAAUACGAAGGGGGCUAGCGUUGUUCGGAAUUACUGGGCGUAAAGCGCACGUAGGCGGAUCGAUCAGUCAGGGGUGAAAUCCCAGGGCUCAACCCUGGAACUGCCUUUGAUACUGUCGAUCUGGAGUAUGGAAGAGGUGAGUGGAAUUCCGAGUGUAGAGGUGAAAUUCGUAGAUAUUCGGAGGAACACCAGUGGCGAAGGCGGCUCACUGGUCCAUUACUGACGCUGAUGCACGAAAGCUAGGGGAGCAAACAGGAUUAGAUACCCCAGUAGUCCCUGUCUCUUAUAC
rnacentral:rRNA from 1 species